rnacentral:rRNA from 1 species
UGGGGAAUCUUGCACAAUGGAGGCAACUCUGAUGCAGCGACGCCGCGUGAGCGAUGAAGCCCUUCGGGGUGUAAAGCUCUUUCGGCAGGAACGAUAAUGACGGUACCUGAAGAAGAAGCUGCGGCUAACUACGUGCCAGCAGCCGCGGUAAUACGUAGGCAGCGAGCGUUGUUCGGAAUUACUGGGCGUAAAGAGUGUGUAGGCGGUGCUCUAAGUUCGGUGUGAAAUCUCCCGGCUUAACUGGGAGGGUGCGCCGGAAACUGGAGUGCUCGAGCGUGGGAGAGGAAAGCGGAAUUCCUGGUGUAGCGGUGAAAUGCGUAGAUAUCAGGAGGAACACCUGCGGUGUAGACGGCUUUCUGGACCAUUGCUGACGCUGAGACACGAAAGCGUGGGUAGCAAACA